UACGUAGGGUGCAAGCGUUGUUCGGAAUCAUUGGGCGUAAAGCGCGUGUAGGUGGUUUAAUAAGUCGGGUGUGAAAUCCCUAGGCUCAACCAAGGAAGUGCAUUCGAAACUAUUAAACUAGAAGGUGGUAGAGGAAGGUGGAAUUCCAAGUGUAGAGGUGAAAUUCGUAGAUAUUUGGAGGAAUACCGGCGGCGAAGGCGGCCUUCUGGACCAUUCUUGACACUGAGACGCGAAAGCGUGGGUAGCAAAC
rnacentral:rRNA from 1 species